GACUGAAGUGGUAGCUCAGUCCAUAGAGCAUGAGAUUUUUAAUCCCAGGGUCAUGGGUUUGAGACCCACUUUGGGCA